rnacentral:tRNA from 1 species
GCGAGAGUGGCGGAAUGGCAGACGCGCCAGACUUAGGAUCUGGUGGGUAACCCCCGUACGGGUUCAAAUCCCGUCUCUCGCACCA